UAAUAAGCGUUUUAUGGCACUUCUUAAAUCCAUAUCCACCUUGUGUGCAAUGUCAGUCGAUCUUCUUCAUGGAGAUCGACCAAACAUCAACCUUUAUCUUUUAACUCUUUGUCUGAAAAAUAUUAUGAAUAAACAAUUCAAAAUA
rnacentral:misc_RNA from 1 species